rfam:Glycine max cultivar Williams 82 chromosome 11, whole genome shotgun sequence.
UUCUUAUUGGAUGAUAACUGUCAUGUGUCAUGUUCUGAUUGGAUGUGGAAUCCAUGGAAGAUGAAAUGCAUUGUUGUUAUCAAUGGUCAAUCAGAACAUGAUACUUGACACUCAUCAUCC